rnacentral:rRNA from 1 species
UACGUAGGGGGCAAGCGUUGUCCGGAAUCAUUGGGCGUAAAGCGCGUGUAGGCGGCCCGGUAAGUCCGCUGUGAAAGUCGGGGGCUCAACCCUCGAAUGCCGGUGGAUACUGUCGGGCUAGAGUGCGGGAGAGGCGAGUGGAAUUCCUGGUGUAGCGGUGAAAUGCGCAGAUAUCAGGAGGAACACCGGUGGCGAAGGCGGUUCUCUGGGCCUGUACUGACGCUGGAGGAGCGAAAAGCCGUGGGGGAGCAAACAGG